UGGGUGUGCAUGUCUUGCAGCAACUAUACCCCUGGUGAUUUAUCCUCUUUCUACACCAGAACAACACUAAACCAUUAGGACAGAGCAAAAAAGAAAAAAAGAGGUCUGGAUAGGAGGGAACACAGCCUGUUCAAUGUCACACACAGUCCCAUCUAUAAUGAUUAAGCGGGGGUCCAGAACUCUUUGAGCAGUAGCAGCGAGCUCGGUGAUGAGUUGCAUGAAGUGCCUCCGCUCCUUUACUUCACCUUCCCAAAAAGCUUUUGAACGACCAGGAACAAGCAAACGAGUGCAGACACAGCUGCCAUGGCUGGUUGAGGGGAUAGGGAGAGACGUAAGCAGGCAUGCAAAGCUCCACAUCAUGACUCCGGGCUCCAAGGUAG